CUUGAAACAAUGCUGUGUGUCCAAGUCCCACCACUUUACAAAACUGUCCUUGGAACUGAGGAAACAUACGUAAAAACGGAGAUGUUGCUUUCACCGUUGAGCAGAUUAAAGAUGCGCACACCUCCAUCCUCAUAACCCACCGCUAUGUGAACGCCAUCAGGAGAAGGACACAGGCCUGUGCGUUUUCUACACGGAUCGACGACAUAGCCACUGCCCCUAC